GUAAAUGAACAGCUCCCCAAUACCUGAUUCAGAUUCUUGAAUGAGCCAGAAAAAAAUUGUAGUUUAGUGGUUCAAAAGAUUCUACACACUCCAGAUGGAGAGUUUAAUGAUAAUGCUGAAAUUACCACCUAAAGUACUCAACCAUUGUUUUUUUCUUUUUGUCCAGUUUCUCCCACUAUACAGCAUAAAGAAUAUGUUACAAUUGAA
rnacentral:lncRNA from 1 species